GAAGAAGAAGAAGAAGAAGUAGAAGUCUGUGCAGCUUGUGAUGCUAAAGGAACAUCAGCUCUAGAACAUUUGGUGAUGGUCAGUGGAAAUCUAACACCAGAAGGAUGACAUCCAGAAACCCUUUUGGAAAUUGGUGACAAAUAGGUGGUUCUGAUAAAGAAAGGAGAGAUUUUGACGAGAGAAGUGGUGGAAAGAUUCAUGGUGGAUGAAAAAUGAGAAGUUUUGGCAUGAAUGAAUGUUGCAGAGACCUUAGUGAGGACUGUAUUAGAUUUUGU
rnacentral:misc_RNA from 1 species